rnacentral:rRNA from 1 species
AAAGGCGAUAGGUAGUGUGAAUUGCAAAAUCCCGUGAAUCAUCGAAUUUUUGAACGCAUAUUGCGCCCGGGGCCUCGGCCGAGGGCAUGUCUGCCUGAGCGUC